GGUUUCACCUGUGCAUCCCAUUGAACGUUAAGUAAAAACAGGCUUCCUGCUCAGCUCUCUUUACGAAAUGCCAAAUUGUUGCAGACCUACGAAUGAAUAGAAAGUAACACCGCAGGUAUACAGGAAAAUGAUGCAAUGCCUCUUAUGUAUACUGGCGCUGGAUCUUGGGUGCAUAAAACUUAAACGCAGCAGACAUUCAGGGGAGUGGGAGCCAACUUUAGUUGCCCGUAUAUGACCGACUCUGGUGUACAAAUGCUUCUUAAUCUGUACUGAGAGUAUACAAUAACAGAUAAACCAUCACUCCUAAACCUCCAUUACUUUAUUUAAUCCCGCUGGUGGACACACAUUUCACCCUGCCAGCAAAUGAAAGCACUGGUUUGCUAUAGGUCUUUCGCGGGCUGUUAUUCAGCCUCGGGCUUCCAGAGGUUCGGUUGCCUGCCGAGGAGUGUUCAUUUGCGCGUGCGGCGGCUCCACUUUCGAGGACCGCCGCUCCGCGAUGCUGUCUCUAGCAGUUUCAACCGACCCGUCUUGAAACACGGACCAAGGAGUCUAACAUACGUGCGAGUAUGCGGGUGGAAGCCCUGUAUGCGCAAUGAGAGAAAGAGUAGGGAGAGGUUCGUGUUUUUGCGCGCUCCUCGCACCUACGACCGACCACCUUCUGUUAGUAGGUUUGAGUUGUAGCGCGUCUGUUAGGACCCGAAAGAUGGUGAACUAUGCCUGAGUAGGGUGAAGUCAGGCGAAAGCCUGAUGGAGGCUCGUAGCGAUAAUGACGUGCAAAUUGUUCGUCAAACUUGGGUAUAGGGGCGAAAGACUAAUCGAACCGUCUAGUAGCUGGUUUCUUCCGAAGUUUCUCUCAGAAUAGCUGGAGUUCAAUUAGUUUUAUCAGGUAAAGCGAAUGAUUAGAGGCCUCGUGGGCGCAGCGCCCUGGACCUAUUCUCAAACUUUAAAUGGGUAAGAUCCAGUGGUUGCUUUGUUGAACUGCUGGGGUUAAUAUGAACUCCAAGUGGGCCAUUUUUGGUAAGCAGAACUGGCGAUGAGGGAUGCUCCUAACGCUUGGUUAAGGUGCCCAAAUACUCGCUCAUCAGAUACCAUGAAAGGUGUUGGUUUAUUUUGACAGCAGGACGGUGGUCAUGGAAGUCGAAACCCGCUAAGGAGUGUGUAACAACCCACCUGCCAAAUGAAUUAGCCCUGAAAAUAGAUGGCGCUGCAGCAAGGUACCGAUACCAGGCCAUCACCGCAAGUGUGCGAGCACUGGACUUUGCGCGGUGAUGAGUAGGAAGACGUGGAGAUCGUGAAGAAGCGUUUGGCGUAAGCCUGCGUGGAACGGUCUCUAGUGCAGACCUUGGUGGCAGUAGCAAAUAUUCAAAUGAGAACUUUGGAGACUGAAGUGGAGAAGGGUUCCAUGUGAACAGCAAUUGGACAUGGGUUAGCCGGUCCUAAGCGACAGCUUAACUGCGCAUAAGGGCGGCUUCACCGCCGCCUGGGCGCGAAAGAGAAUCAGGAUAAUAUUCCUGAGCCAGGACGUGGAUACUGUACGGUAACGUGAGUGAACUCCUCGACGCAGGCGGGUGCCCCGGGAAGCGUUGUCUUUGCUCCUUAACAGCCUCCUCUACAUACCCUGGAAUCAGAUUAUCUGGAGAUAGGGUUGACUGGCUGGUAAAGCUUCCUGGCAGGAAGUCCGGUGCGCUCCCGACUGCCCCUGAAAAGAGGAGGGAAAGUCGUUAUUUGCACCCUGGCCGUACCAUUAACUGCAUCAGAUCUCCAAGGCCAGCAGCCUCUGGUCGAGAGAAGAAAGUAGAUAAGGGAAGUCGGCAAAAUGGAUCCGUAACUUCGGGAAAGGGAUUGGCUCUGAGGGCUGGGUGCAUAGCGCCAGUGCGUCCUCCGCGUGUCAGAGCUGCGCGGGCCCUUUCGUGCCUCGCGGCGCGUCUGCGGACUGCCGGCACUGACCGCGGAGCGACCGCUGGUCUUGCGUGCACAGUGAACAGCCAACUCAGAACUGGAGAGGACAAGGGGAAUCCGACUGUUUAAUUAAAACAAAGCGUUGCGAUGGCCGCAAACGGUGUUGACGCAACGUGAUUUCUGCCCAGUGCUCUGAAUGUCAAUGUGAUGAAAUUCAAUCAAGCGCGGGUUAACGGCGGACGUAACUAUGACGUUCUUAAGGUAGCCAAAUGCCUCGUCAUCUAAUUAGUGACGUGCAUGAAUCCAAGGGAACGGGCUUGGCGGAA
rnacentral:rRNA from 1 species